rnacentral:rRNA from 1 species
AGAGUUUGAUCAUGGCUCAGGAUGAACGCUAGCGACAGGCUUAACACAUGCAAGUCGAGGGGCAGCAUAAUUUGUAGCAAUACAGAUUGAUGGCGACCGGCGCACGGGUGAGUAACGCGUAUGCAACUUACCUAUCAGAGGGGGAUAGCCCGGCGAAAGUCGGAUUAAUACCCCAUAAAACAGGGGUCCCGCAUGGGAAUAUUUGUUAAAGAUUCAUCGCUGAUAGAUAGGCAUGCGUUCCAUUAGGCAGUUGGCGGGGUAACGGCCACCAACGCGAUGGAUAGGGGUUCUGAGACGGAAGGUCCCCCANAUUGGUACUGAGACACGGACCAAACGUCCUACGGGAGCA